CGUGCAUAAACGCGGGUGAAAUUGCUUGUUUCUACAAAAAUCUUGUUCACUGUCGAGCUUUAAUUUAGUUUAGAAUCUUUGCAGGUGAAUUUCCACUAUGUUGGCUAUACUGACUCAGAUCGUCGCAUUGCAGCACCUACUUGCAGGGUUCUCCUGUGAAAAUCCUCGUGGGCACCAAUGCACUGAUUCCAAGCGAACAGACUACAUCCAGACUUCAGUACAAUCGUGUGCCUUCUAUCCAGACCUGCUUGCCUUCUUUUCAAACUAAAAGCUGUAAGCAAUAGAGGUAGUUAACAAGGGAACUUAAGCAGGAUUUGAGGAAGGAAUUCGAGACUUGAGACCUGGGGGGAAGAGAGAUAAUCAUUCCUCAAGAACUUGGGCCACUGGUUGGACCUUCUACAUUUUUCAGCUCAAAACAGCUCGAAGUUUUUGACGUGGAAUUCCUCAAUUUUAAGGACUGUCAAAGGAAGACUACAGGAUUUUACUCUGAUGUCGUGUGCGACUGACAGGCUUUUGUUAAGCCUUUAAAAGGCAAUUUUGUCGGAACAUUAUCGCGCUAAAAGUUUAUUCCUACUACGUGGAUUUUUACCUUGUCUAAGAAAGGCCAUAUUGAAAAUUAGCAUUUGAGAAAGUCGGAAUUUUAAUUUUAUACGAUGACUCUAAAUUAUCAACAAUCUUCAGGAAUAUCAUUAUUUGCUAUUUAGUAGUUGAAGUUUUAUAAACCCUUAAGAUUUUUGGCUUAGAUGAUAAAUGGUUUUGGUUUUCAUGCAACUAUCCCGGAUUCGAAACCAAGUCUAGAUGUGAGAAAGAAUUUUCUCGUUAAUACACCCUGAAUGUUGCUUUGAGGUUCUAGUUUCAAUGGGACAAAAUUUGGCCCGAUGAUUUAGUGACUUACAAAAUGUUUUCUUCAAUAGUUUUUCUCCAUACUCAGUAGUCUUUCUACGUCAACUGCUGUCAGGAGUCGGUUUUUCCUGCUUUAAUUAGGGUUGGCUGCUUACAAAACCAGCACUCUUUUCUUCAAUAGAAUUUGAAAUCAGCAUGCGUUGGCCAGUGGAGGAAGAUGCCACAGGCAGGAAGGAGGACUUCGGCACCGGGCCACACUCUGUUCUAAUGAUGAGCGUCAGAG